UCCAGGACUUCAGUCCUGGAGUGCAUCCUGCAAACUUCUUUUUGUGUGUGUAUAUAUAUCUUCUCUCUCUGUAUGGGAGACUGAUUACUGUAUCUUCUCUCUCUGUAUGGGAGACUGAUAUAUAUAUAUAUAUAUACACACACAAAAAGAAGUUUGCAGGAUGCACUCCAGGACUGAAGUCCUGGA